CUGCUGCAGGCCCACAGAGAGGAAUGAACAACAAUACCAAGAUAAGAAAGAGGAAAAAACUGAUCAAGAAGUGGAAUUCCUAAGCUGUCCAGUUUCAGGGCUUCUCUUUCUUGGCAGGGAGCGUGCGAAUCGGUAGACUAGCUCUGCUCGGUUCAACCCUCUGCCAAAGGAGAGUUGCCCUGUAGCAGGACCCAGCUUAAGGUUCAUGAUUCUAGGGACCAUUGAUGAUUGUUUCAAGCUUUCAUCUACACCGAAAUUUAGUGUUAUGCCUGCCAAUGGUGAUGCAAAGCUCUUUGCUGAAUAUCUGGGUACUACAUCCUUUUGGGUUACUGCUACCUUUCUACUGCUACGUUGUAAGAAGAGCUUUACUAUAUGGAUGAAGAGUGGUCAUCAGCAGCUCAGUGCCAUCUAUAUCUGCUAAUCUCUGAAUUUUUGUUCGUGAAAUCAUGUAUGCUGAAUCAGGUACAUGUAUAGUUCAGUAAUCUCAUUGGAAUCUUUCCCCAAGACAUUGCCUGGAACCUGAAAUUACAAUAUCUUAACAGCAGUCACUGCUUAGUAUUGGAUCAUCCAUUGGUCAUGAUUCAGUGUCAAGAUCUAACAUGGUUACUUAAUUGGCUACCCAAUUACCCAUAAUCAUUGAUUUGGCAAUGUUGGCUUGUCAAUUUAGCAUGACCAUAUGAGUAUCAAAACUCUACAUUCUUGUUGCAGUUUUACCAGAAUUUGUAACCAGAUUGCUUGCUAAGGAGAUGAUGCGCCGAUGGAAUGAGUUCGUUUCCUUUUCAGAA